rnacentral:tRNA from 2 species
GGUCCCAUGGUCAAGAGGUUAAGACAUCACCCUUUCACGGUGGAGUCAGGGGUUCGAUUCCCCUUGGGACUACCA